rnacentral:piRNA from 1 species
UUUAAAAAAAAAUGUGUUAACCUUUGC